GGGAGUCACAGUUGGUAUCAGAGCUUAGGGAUAUGAUCUCUGGCGGAGAUCGGGGAAUAGAACUAGGAGGGGAGAGACGAGUAAAUCCUUCGCUAGUGUGUCCUACCUAAGCUUAUUUGUUGGUCAGGUCAUAAUAUAGGAAUAUUAUAUGACAUGUUAAUUUGUUUAAUUAACCCUUGUUUUAUGGCAGUAUUUAAGAAUGGCUGCUGAGAACGUUAACA
rnacentral:lncRNA from 1 species